GAAUGAUGUGAUGAAGAGUUUUUCUUUGUGUAUUCGGUUUGAUUGCCGAAAUGAUGGCAUCGACCUUUGUAUUAGCUCUAUCUGAUCAUUC
rnacentral:snoRNA from 1 species